rnacentral:lncRNA from 1 species
GAAGACAGCAGAUCCAUUGAGUGAAAGUGUGUCAUUUUUACAGUCGUGUCUCUGAGCACAACCACAUUUAAGAAAGCCACAAACCUGGAUGGCCAUGUGAUUUUACAUUUAAAAAAAGAGAUUUAACGUGUUACAGCACAUUUUCCCUAGGCUACGGAGCAACGGUUUCUUGCUUAGCUGUGAGUUCAUAAAUUAUCAGGUCAGGUUCAUGCACUAUCAUGUUUCAAGACAGAGCUGUUUUACAAAUAAUACAAGGCGGUUGUUCUCCUCCAUGGGCAGGUAUACAGGGAGAGCCAGCUCAUCUGAGUGAUAAAUAUUGCAGAGCAACAGCAGAGAGGAGGAAGAUAAUCCAAAUGCCUUCUGUGGACAGCCCUGGAAGGAUGAGGAAGAAGCUUCCCAUUUCUAAGCCCAGGGAGAGGUCACUUCUGAGGACUAAGCGGGAAGUUGCAUCUAGAAGCCGGAACUUACAACACCAGCUUCCUUGGGAGUAUUUUGAUGCUUUCACUGCCUGUCAAAAUCAGGAAGUAUAAAAUGCAGAGAAAACUUACUUAAAGAUAAAAAGUUCUUUUUACAAAAAUAUGUCUUACAACCAGAUAUCUGAUGGAGUUGGGAACAGGUUAUUCCUUUGUCUACUACUCUAAAUUUAAGUGUAAGUGUCCUGUGGCACAGUUGUGAUGAUGUUGAUGCCUGUAAAUGUUCUGAUUGCAUUGGGGGGUGAUCACAGAAUCACAGAGUCAUUUGAGUUGGGAGGGACCCUUGAAGGUCAGUCAGGUCUAACUCCUCUGCAGUGAGCAGGCA